rnacentral:rRNA from 1 species
GACGAACGCUGGCGGCGUGCUUAACACAUGCAAGUCGAACGGUGAAGCGCCUUCCUUUUUGGUGGGUGUGGAUGAGUGGCGAACGGGUGAGUAACACGUGAGUAACCUGCCCCCUUCUUCUGGAUAACCGCAUGAAAGUGUGGCUAAUACGGGAUAUUCUGGGUCUGUCGCAUGAUGGGUCUGGGAAAGAUAUUGUUUCGGUGGGGGAUGGGCUCGCGGCCUAUCAGCUUGUUGGUGGGGUGAUGGCCUACCAAGGCGGUGACGGGUAGCCGGCCUGAGAGGGUGGACGGUCACACUGGGACUGAGACACGGCCCAGACUCCUACGGGAGGCAGCAGUGGGGAAUAUUGCACAAUGGGCGCAAGCCGGAUGCAGCGACGCCGCGUGAGGGAUGGAGGCCUUCGGGUUGUGAACCUCUUUCGCCAGUGAAGCAGGCCUGCCUCGUUUGUGGGUGGGUUGACGGUAGCUGGAUAAGAAGCGCCGGCUAACUACGUG